GACAGAGGGUGCAAACGUUGUUCGGAAUUACUGGGCGUAAAGCGCGUGUAGGCGGCACUACAAGUCGGAUGUGAAAUCCCGCGGCUUAACCGUGGAAGUGCACCCGAAACUGUAGAGCUAGAGUCCCGGAGAGGAUGGUGGAAUACUUGGUGUAGAGGUGAAAUGCGUAGAUAUCGGGAGGAACACCGGUGGCGAAGGCGGCGACCUGGGGUCGAUACUGACGCUGAGGAGCGAAAGCGUGGGGAGCGAACAGG
rnacentral:rRNA from 1 species